GCCAACCUGGCCAGAACUACCCAGGUGAACCUUGUCCAAACCGCCAAACUGCAGAGUCAAGAGCUGAAAAAUGGUUGUUAUUUUAAGCCACUAAGUUAUGUGGUAAUUUGUUCUGCUGCAAAAGGUAAUUGGUACAAGAAGUGACCAUCUGAACAGUUUCUGGCAAUGGCAGGCUAUAAGGACACAGGAACACGUGUAAACCCAUGGAAUAAUGAAAUGAUAGUGGAAGGAAGUAGAAGUGGGAGCCUAACAGGACCCGGGGGUAGGGAGUAUUGUAUGACCGUCAUAAAGGAAAUUGGGGAGAGCAGAGGCAGAACAAAGUAAGGAAGAGGUUUUGACUUUGUACAAAUAUGUAAAUUCAAGCCUGCAUCCUUAAGUGCUUCUCAGGCACACUGCCUACCCACCCAUGUGUUUGCCGUCAGUGUAAGCACAUUCUUACUGCCUUACCUUCUCUAGCUGGUAACAAUGCUGAGUGGAUGGGUCUCUGGUUUGGGAAUCGGCAGACAGAAUUCUCAUGGUGAUGUGACAGUAUUUGUAGGUUGACUUGGCUCCAAGCAGGAGGAAGAGAGGGGCUGUCAACAUCUUGGUGAGACAAGAGCAGGUUGGAGGCAGUCUCUGCUGACACCCUGGUAACUGAGGUCAGCUGGCCUGGAAAUCCACACUCACCACUGCCAAGUACAGAGGACAACUGAAGAGAUGGCUCUCCCAGCAAAAGGAGGCAGAUCCAGACCGUCUACAGUUGAGUUUACUGGAGGAGAAGAGGGAGCCUCUAUUCUUUUAAGGCCAGAAGAGUUUAUCCACCUUGCCUAGGAGUUGAGAUUGACUUCUCUGCUUCCCUCUGUAGUGAUCAUGACAUCUGACCCUCAUCCUGGUAUGAGCCACAUUAUGAACCCUGCUGCCCAUCAUGUCGCCCCACAGCCUCCUGCUGCUGUUAGCAUUGAUUCUUCCUUCCAUCUUCUCUCUCAGCUUGGAUUUUUAGACCCUGAAAUCUGCCUUAAUUCAUCUCUCUUGAAAACUUCUGUUGCUGCUCUUGGAUCUGGUAAUAUUUUUUGUCAGCUUUCCUCUUGAAUAAGUGAAUGUUUUCUAAGGAGUCCAAAUUCCUCUGACUUGAAUCUCAGAAUAUCAGAGCCAGAAGGAACCUCAAAGUCAGCUGGACCAAUGGUUCCAGCCUGCGGCAUUUGGAUUCUCAGAGACUUUGGAGUUAUUGUGAGUCUUAGAACACAUAUACACUUAUAGUUCUUUCUUUUCCUUCACUGGGCAGCAAAAUUGACAUGAUUAGUAUGUGGUAUCCAUAACUUUUUGAACUUAAGAAGAGUUUUCAUGCUCUAAAAAUCUGAGAACCACUGAUUCACACCAGCUGCCUCAUUUUACAAAUGAAAAAAUGAAGCCCAGAAAAUGAUUUGAUUUUCCCAAGGUCGUAGAGUAAAUUAAGAUCAGGUCAGGACCUGGGUAUAAUCUUUGGAUUGUCAACCAUCAACCCAUUGCUCUUUCCAGUAUCCCAGCCCCCAAAAUAUCAUAGUCCUCACAAUUACAUAGCAGCUCCCGCAGACACUACUGCAAAGGGGAUUAAAGGAUCCCCAACUGGCUCAGGCUGAAAGUGAGGGAGUGACUUCUCCCUCUACAGCAAACGUUAAGCUUUUUUGAAAAGUAUUGCCAGGAUAUAAUAAACAAAUAAAUGUCCCUAGAGAGUGCACUAAUAAUUAGAUAAAGUUGCCCCAUCUUUUUUCAGACAAUUGUAACUUGCCCACUGCCCCUGGCAUGGGUGAGUGAGGAGUCCUAGAUCCCAGAAGGUCACUAAUUAAGUUCAGGGAAGCAUCCCACCUAUAGGCUUUCCCGAAGUCUACGGCAUAGCUCUGGAAGGGAGUGUCAGGACCAAAUUUCUUGCUCAGGGAUUUUGAAAUUAGAACCCUGAGAGACGGGGUCAGCUGGAGGAGGAGGCUGGGCAGGACAAUAAUGAUGAAAUGUUGGGUCUAGUGGACAUUUAGAGCCACAAGCCCAUAGAGAAAAAGAAGAAGAAUGAGAUGGGGUGAGGGAGAGCGAGUGUGCACGUGAGGGGCCACGUGGCUACAGAGAGAAAGGGACACAGAGAAAGAGAAGGAAAGAGGAAGACCUGGAGAGAGCUCCUUAGAUUGAACCUUUCUAGUUCCCAGUUCCUGUCACAGAAGGCCCAGAUUCCCUAGGAUUCCAGAAGCUCUGGAUCUUAAAAUAAGUUCUUUUGGGGCCGGCCCGGUGGCGCAGAGGUUAAGUGCGCACAUUCAGCUUCGGUGGCCCCAGGUUCACUGGUUCAGAUCCCGGCUGCGGACAUGGCACCGCUUGGCAAGCCAUGCUGUGGUAGGCGUCCCACAUAUAAAGUAGAGGGAGAUGGGCAUGGAUGUUAGCUCGGGGCCAGUCUUCCUCAAAAAAAUAUAUAAAUAAAUAAAAUAAGUUCUUUCUACUUAGGCUGAUUUGAGUAAGAUUUGCUCGCUGAAUGAACAGCCAGCUCCGGAGGAAUAAAUUCAGAUCUCAUGCAUAAACUCAGAGUUCUCACAGCCCAAGAUUCGAUGGUGACCCAAGACUCCCUCACAGCUGAGGCUGCCUCAUCGAGAAAAUGAAGGACGAGAGCACUUCAGCUGCCACCAGCACAGCCCCAACACUCUGCAGUGCUGAUGACGGGCACUGGUUGAGCAACCGAAAUCAUCCAUUACAAAGGUCUCAGGACACAGCUGUGACAUGCGACUCCACAGAGACCUCAUGUUAAUCCCGGAUAUUUCUGAAUUUCAUUCCUGUUCAGAAGGAGCCUGUCUCUAAGUACUUGAGAAUAGGAAAGAAGCUUCUAUGUCAUCACUCUGGCAUCUUUCAUUUCAGUAAAAAAAAGAAAAUUGAUUUUGAGAUUUCUGUUCUAUAUGGCACUUAAUGUGAAAUAUCUAGUUCUAAAGUGAUUUAGAAAAAGAAAAAAGUGCACUGUGGUGUUAAAAUCUAUUUAUCUUCUUUUAUUCUCAAGGGCAAGAAAUGAAAAUAAUAACAGAUAACAGUAGAUUUUCAGUGUGGUGACAGAAAGAGGUUAUCAGGAAAAUCCCAGGGUGAAAAUAAAGUAGAAAAGCAAGAAUACAGUUUGAGAAAGAUGUGGAAGAAAGAUAUGAAGCUAGAAAGGAAAAUAAGAGAUUGUCAGUGACAGCCAAGAUUCUUAAAAGAUAGAAGAGUUCUUACUGAUUCAUCUGUAAGUAGAGGUAACAGAGGAAAAAAAAAACAAGAGAUGAACACCAUGAUGCUAGGAUCGGAAAUCUCAGGGGUAUGGUGUUGUCGUUAAAUUCUGCCUUUGGCUAAAAAAAAAAAAUCAGAAAAAGAGAUUUAGGGAAAUACGCAUGGGAAAUUGUGUGAAAUGAGUUGUUGAUAAAGUAAAAGAAAGUAUACAAGAAACACGGAAAUAUCUUUAAGCCGCUGCCUCUCCAACAUCCAUUCUAAGUUGUUAAGAGAAUGAGUUAAUGGAUUUAGAGAAGUUCUGAUCAUUAUAUUCGGGGGGCACUUUGGAUGCAGUAUUUCAGAAAGCUGUCAAAAUAAGUACAUCUCUUCAAGAUAUUAGAGGAAAAAACAAGAAAAAACAAGCACACAUGGACCUAAUUUUCUUCUUUUUUGCUCUCCUUCCUAAGAAAGGCCUUCCUGGAGGGUGUUGUGCUGAGUGAAAUAAGCCACAGAGGCAUAUUCAUGAUGACAGUUUAAAAAUCUUUGUCGGGUCAUUCCGACAUCUCUGUCAUCUUGGUGCUGGUAUCUGUUGAUUGUCUGUUUUCACUUAGUUUAUCUUCCUUGUUCUUGAUGUAAUGAGCAAUUAUUUUUUUACUGAAUUCUGGGCAUCUGGGGCAUUAUGUUGUGAGACUCUGGGUCUUAUUUAAGCCCUCAUUUUUUCUGGUUUCCUCUGACAUUACUUGAGCAGGGGAAGAAGAGGGGACCCGCCACCACUGCCAGGUGAGAGUAAGUUUCCACUUGCCCUUUGUUGACAUAGAGGUGGGGUUCCUCUUUACUGCUUGAUGUGGGUGGGAGUUCUGGCUCCCUACUAGGUCUCUGCUGAUACCUACCUGGCUGGGCAGCAUCCAGAUGCCUCACUACUCUCCUCACAUGGCCUCCGCUGACAUCAUGGUGGGGCUGUGCGGGGACCUCCGUGCUGCUGGGCAGUGGUGAAAGUUCUGACUGUCCAUUAGGCUUCUUUAGACACCAUCCCAGUGAGGAUGGGGAGGGCGCCUGACUGCCGCCAAAUGGAGAUGGAAGUCCAGGCUCCCAGUUGAUCUCCACUGACAGCAUGAGGAGGCCUCAUUAGCUCCAGGGGAUGAAAGUCCUGGCUCUCUACUCAGCCCUUUCUGACAACACCCUGGCAGAGAGGUUUGGGCUCCUUGUUAAAACUCCACAGAAAUGGAAGUCCAGGCUCCCCACUCAGCCUUACUGGAAUGGGUGGGAGAGGGGUCAUAGAUUUUUCUGUAGUGUUUGGCUGGAGUAGACCAGUUAUUAUCUAAAUGUUUCCUAUCUUGCGAGGUUGCUCCUUUUCCUAGAGAGAGUGGGCUUCUGUUGGGGCUUUUUCUUUCUAGAGUCAUUGGCAUUUCCAGGCUGCCAGCUCCUUCAGCUCCAAGUCUGGGAAAUAUAAGGCAAAAAAGAAGACCCAGGGAACUCACCACCAUACUGUUCCUUGGAUUCCGAGGUCCCUAGUUGGUCUGCCUUCUUCUCUCCACAUUUCAGAGUCUUCUUGUGUUUGUUUCUGUGGACUGUCCAGGGUUUUCAGUUGUCUUUAGCAGGAGGACCAGGAAAAGGUACAGCUGUUCCACUUCCCACAUAUGGAAUCUUUCCAGAUCAUUCACAUACAGAUAACAACAGUACCUGCCUCCUAGAGACCUCAAAGGGUUAUUGUGAGGAUUAAAUGAGUUAAUUGGACCUUUGGAGCAGUGGCUGGCACAUGGUAAGCCUUAUAUAAGUGUUAUCUCUUCUUGUUAUUAGAUAAACAGUAUAAUGGGGUUGUUAAGGGAACAGAGUCUGGGCCCAGACUACCAGGAUUUAAAUCCUAGCUCUUACCCUUAAUAGAUGUGUUAGUCUUUGGGAAAUUAACUGAAUCUCUCUGUGUCUAAACAUUCCCACUGUAAAUGGCAAUAAUAAUAGUUUCUUCUUCACAAAGUUAUUGUGUGAACUGAAAGAGUUAAUAUAUCUCUAAAGCUCUUAGAUGAUUGCCUUGCACAAAGUGAGCUCUAUUUAAGUAUUAGAUAUUAUUCUUUUAAGCUAAAGUACUUCAUUUUCUCCUCAAAGCACCCUCUAAAAUAAGUGGUAAAGCAUCACUAUCUCCAUGUAUAAAUGAAGAAACAGAAGAGGUUCUGAGGCAUGCAAUGACCUGCCCGAGGUCACAGAGCCAGUAUGUGGCAGAGCCAGCUUGAGCCACAGAUCCUCUGACUGCAAGUCUAGGGCUCACGGCAUCAUGUAAGCCCUGAAUUGAGGCUUGGUUAGGAGUGCAAGAUGAAAACCAGGAUUCAUGCUUAGAGAACAGGGCAAGCAGACAGCUGCCGAAAUCACACGUGGGUGGGCAAGGCAGCAUGAAGAUAGGAACAAAGUGGAAAGAAGGCCAGGCGGGAGUCUGGUUGUUGGGCUAAGUCCAUAUCAGGAAAUUGGUGUUGAAGAGACCACCAAGAUGAUUUCCAGUGAGAGAUUUCUACCCCUCCAGAAGGUGUGCCAUCAACGUCUCCUGUUCACAGGGCAGUGACGGGUUUCCUUAGAGCUCAGCACUCCCACUCCAAGGCAGCUUAUGCUCUUCAGAGAGACUCCAGCUCCAAGAAAGCAGGGGCUGUGCCUUCUUCAGUUCCGAAGCUCCUCAAGUCUGACUCGUGAAAUGGGGUCCUUCCUCAAGGGAUUCCCGCUGCCGCCCCUGCCCAGCCUGCCGUCUACAUACUUCGGAGCCUGUCCAAGUCCAGCUUGUGCCUCAGGGCUCAUACCGAGUGCCACCAAGCCUUCCUGGAGACACCAGCCCACACUGAGCUCGCCCCUUCCUAAACCCUUAGCGUUAACUAUCUCUGCCAUAUGUUUUGGAAUGUGUUUAUUUAAGCAUCAUAUAAUAUCUAGUCCUAUAUUUUUCCUGAUAUUUCAUAUGUCCAAGUCUUGUGUAACCAGCAAGACCAUGGGUCUUGGGGGCAGUGGUUGCAUCAUACAAGUUUUGAUGAGGUUUGGCCUCCCAGCAUUUGACAUGGAACACAGUACUGGGUAGUGAGUCAAUUAAUACUUGUUAACUCUGAAAGCAAAGGUCUCAGACAAGCAGAGGUGCCCCCAUGUGGAGUACAUGGAGCCCCAGGCAAAAUUCUCUUUUUGCAAGGCCCUAACUAAACACUUUGAUUAAAAAAUGUUUUACAAAAUGUGUGGGCCCCUGGAAAGUAUAGUGAUUUAUUGCUGAAGGUGUAGAAUAAUGUGUAGGAAGAGCUGGAAGAGGUACUUUGAUAUGUAUUUAUUGUCCAAUCAGGGCAGAUGUCCAGAGACCAUCUUUUCUGUUUGGGUCCAGGAAUCAUCUCUUCAUGUUCUUUAUUGUCAAAUGUGCCAUUCCUGGAGAAUUUCACAUCUUCCACCUCCAAAAACAGGGUGCAAUGCUGUCAUUACUCACAAUGUCAGGACUUUUUGGAGCUUGCUUAUAUUGCAACUAUACAGAUCUCAUCUCUGCACGUAUUUAAUGUUACUUAUACCAUGUAUGCAUAACAGUGGGUCAUCCAUUGUGCGGCCUGUGAGUACUGCUUUCCAACGACCCUGUCAAAGGUAGCUGCUGUGGUUCAUUGAUAAUGACUAUAAAUGCAAGUCUCAUCCAGAGAAUGCUGGAAAAUGUGAACAAUAAUCCAUUUUGCGGUCAUAUAAAGUCUACAGUUUGGAAUUUUAUAACAUAAAGAUAGAACACCGUGUCUUCCAACUCUGUCUUCUCUUGAACUCUUCAGGCGGAAGUCACUGCAUCCUUAGAAGGUGAUUUCUUUCCCUGUUGACCACACCCCUGCCUUCCAUACAUCCCACCAGCCAGGAGGGUAGGCGAGGGGCCUGUGGGCAGAGUAAGUAAAGCAGUCACAUUCUGCAAGAAAUGUUCGUCCCUCGCCCCAGGAGAGCAUGAGGCCACCAAAUCCACUGGAGGCAAAAGAGGACCCUGAGCAGAAGGGCCCAUCUGCAUUCUAAAGCAAUGGUCUAGAAAGCCCUUGGAGGAGAUAGGCUUGGCCACCUCAGAGGACUGCCCGACAUGGGUAGGGAAAGGAACUUAUGGAGGGGUGGGGUAACCCUGUGUGCCAGCAGUAGAGUACACAGGUAAAGGACACCUGCAGCCUCCCUCCUGCCCUUGGGUGUUGUGGCCCUAGGAGGCCACGGAUGGAACGGGCAGGCAAGAGCCGAUGCUGAAGAGCUCAAGUCCAAAGCUGGGUGGGAUUGGUCCUGGUAACCCUGAGUCCUGAACGUCUCCUGUGACCACCAUGAGUGAGUCACCUCAAAUCAGAGUGUCAGCACAUUUUGGGGGGCUCAAUCUCAUGAGAGAAAUACUGCAACAGCCAGCGGAAAUGACCAGCUCAUGAGCCCACCCUCCUGGAAGCCCCAUAGGUGGGGAUUAUGAUCCCAGGAGCAUGAGUCUCGGAGUUCCUUGGGGCAGGUGGUGACCCCACACACAGGAUCAAGGGUCAAAGAGUGUCCUGAAGGAUGGAAAUAAGGACCAAACUCCCAGGAAUCCAUCCAGGUUUGGGGUGUCCCACCCAGGUGGCAUUGCCAGGCACCCCAGGGAACUUCAAAAAUUUUGAAGAAAGCACUGGGCCCAGGGCAGCAGCCUACUGUCCCAGGUCUAAGGCUGUUACUGCAGCCAAGCCUUUCUGCGCUCCUGGUAAUCCCCAAGACCAGACCAGCCCGUGUGGCUAUGGGGAUUGCCAAUGUGCUGGGCUACCAUGUAGGGAGCAUCGGGCAUUUUCAGGAAUUUGUACUCUGGUCUCAUUUCGGCACAAAGUGCUGGUGCCCUUUUUUCUUUUGGGGGCCUCACUACAUUGAGUACAUUCUCUCAGAUAAAUUUCUGGUCUCACCUUGUUAAUUCUUUGAAAAGAACAAUUAUGAACUGACUCACAGGACAGUAUUCCUGUUUUUUCUCGUGUUAAUAAGUAUCAGAUGGCAGUGAAUUUUUCUAUCUUUCCUGUGGCAGCUUCCCAUUACACCUGUGCAGCUUCCCAUUACACCUGUGACAGCUUCCCAUUACACCUGGCAUUUUGAGCCACACACAUGUGCAGGAUUUUGCAAAAUCUGAGUAGAGAAGAGGCUAGAAGAUGAGGUGAGAGAGACGUUUUAUGAAAAUAAAAAUUCAUAAAAAUAUCACCAAAAAUAUCCCACUAAAUUAUAUCACUGAUAGCAUCCGUUAAAAUAUCUCAUUAAAAAUAUCAUUGAUCAGAUCCAUUAUUUUGUUAUUUAAAAAGUUGUUAAAUCUUUGGUCAGCAGUUACUCUGUGUCACCAUCACAUUCGUUGCUCAGAUUUCUUAGUUCCUCUCAAAGGAAUGUUACCAAAUAUGUGAAUUUCUGGCUACCGUGAAAUCAGAUAAAGCGAUGGGUAUUUUGAUAAGUAUAGAACAUGGAAUUCGUUUGUAGCUUAAAACAAUCUCUCAAGGCGUUGGUUGGCCACUAAGUAGCAUGUAUUCAUAUUUGCCUUUGUUUCCUUUCUAAUAGUGCUGGGGCUUCUGCCACUUUAGAAAACAGAAUUUCUAACUCUCAUGGCAGUUCAGGCACAGUUUCUAAUAAUCUAACCUCACGAUACACACAAAUGACUUAUAUUAAUGCCAUAGAAAUAAACUAUUAUAUUCUAGUGCUUAUGUGAGCCCCAAGCUGUGCUAGGUAGUUCUCUCCUAUUAUUGUGUUUAAUGGAUUGAGCAACUAACAUUUAUUCAAUGUUUGGCAUUUCUUUUAAAUGCCGUCUAGCAUAGUACAAUGGUUCCUGAAUGUCAGUGGAUAUAGGAAUCAUCAGGAAAGGACUUAUUAAAACACAGGUUCCUGGGGAUCGUCCCCGUGGCCAAGUGGUUAAGUUCUCGCGCUCCGCUUCAGUGGCCCAGAGUCUCGCUGGUUCGGAUCCUGGGCGUGGACAUGGCAUCGCUCGUCAGGCCACGCUGAGGCGGCGUCCCAGAUACAUAGCACAGUCAGAGGCGCUCACAACUAGAAUAUACAACUAUGUACUGGGGGGAUUUGGGGAGAAAAAGCAGAAAAAGAAAAAAGAGAAGAUUGGUGCCAAUCUUGAAAAAAAAAAGAAAUUUAAAACACAGCUUCCUGGAUCCCAUCCCCAGGGUUUCUGAUUCAGCAGGUAGGGGGUGAAGCUUGAGAAUCUGCAUUCCUAACAUGUUCCCAGGUUAUGCUGGUGCUGCCGGUCCAGGGACCACACUGUGAGAAUCACUGGCAUAGGAGUUAAAAGCAGUGACUUUGCUAUCAGACUGAUCUGGUUUUGAGUCUUUUGGUUUAACUUUCCUCAUCUAUAAAAUUAUACCUCCAUCAUUAGGUUAUUUUGGAGAUUAAAUAUGAUAUAUGUGAAGUGCUUAACAUGGUAUCUUGCAUGCGUUAUAACUCAGUAAAUGUUAACUGCCACCAUAGUAGCAUUUGCUACAGUACUACUCUUACUACUAAGUAAACUUAGAAAAUGACUUUGAUUUCAAAAUCAGUUUUAGAUUGUCAGUGCUCUCUCUUCUCUUUACCUAGAGCUGAGCUCCAAUGUCUCGCAUGCUAUGACAUCAUAAUGAGAUUGAUAACCAAGACUCUGAGGAAUGGCAUAUUGGAUUUUUCAUAUUAUCAUAGAGAUUCUCCAUCAUAACUAAGAAAAAUAUAUAAAACAAAUGCCAUUUUUUAAUAACCCUGAAAAAACCUCUAGGAAAAAGAGCUGCAAUUAAGUUAGUCUAUUAGCUUUACCAAACCUUAUUGAAUAUGUUAUUAUUAGCUGUCUAAAAUGAUACAUCUAUUUGUGGUUAAACACACACAAGUAAAAAGCCAAGAACCUUCAUGAAAGGUUGCUUAAUCUUGAUCAAUACUUUAGAAGAGUCAGCAUAUACUUUGGCCACAGAAAAUUCUAGUAACUUAUUCGUAACUUAUGUGAAAUUAUCCUGCUACUAAUCUGCACAAUUCUAGAGUCCCAGAAAUGGUAGAAUAUAUAAGUUUUGAUGAAUAAAUGAAGAGCAAUAGGAUAUACUGGAGUAUAUGAGGAAGCCAUAUGGUUUAAAAUUAAUUCAGCCUGAACUUGUUAUUCCAGAAAGCCCUGAUGUGGCCUCUUGAACAUGCAUUGUACAUCUGCUUUAAGCAUUUACAAUGUCCCAAAGACAAGAAUUAUGCCCUUAAAGGUAGAGAUUCAGCUUCCCCCUAGAUUAGCAUUUCUUUAAGAAUAAGUAUCUCUUCCUGGAAACUAAGGAUUAAUUACAGAUCUGCUGUUCUCACCUUGUGACCACUGACCUGCUAUGCUAGCUAAGCAUCUAGUGACAGUAGUAAAAGAGAUAUUCCUGGCAUAUGUGAUGUACGUUCUUUGUUCCAAGAUAGUAUAUAACCACUCUGUACACUCCACUUCUCUGGUGUAUGUCUUUCCUUGGGGAAGGAAGCCCCCAAGCUAUAGUCCUCAGACCUGGCUCAUGAUAAACUCACCCAAUUUUGAUUUAUAGAUUGAUUAUGGAUUAUUUGCAUCAACAUUUGGAAACAUAUUCAUCAUCCAUUAAUCAAAUUCUGACCCAGGAUUCCCAUCAGCUAUAUGAUUCUGGGUACCGAGAGGCUCAUCCUGGGCUCUUUCCGUCACCUGCAUCUACAUUCUUUUCUAUUUUUAUGGAGAGCCACUAAGAAAUACAACAGAUAAGCUAACAUCAAAGAUUUCAUCCAAAUUAUCUAAAAUAAGUAUGGCAACAUUCACAUUAAAGAAAUGUCAUAUUCUGUGUUGGUUUUGAGUGCUCUGAUAUUCACAGUGAGAUAAAAAAUUAAUAAAUGUCACUUGGCUUCUUUGGUAUUAUGGUCUCUUGGGCAUAUAAGUAGAAGCAACAUUUAUUAUCUAAUACUGUCGCCCAGGAUGGGCAAACCACAGCCCUCUCCCCUGGCUCCCCAUUUUGUAAAUAAAGUUUUAUUGACACACAGCCACAUUCGUUCUUUUACCUAUUGUCUAAGGCUGCUUUCACACUACAGUGGCAGUGUUGAAUAGCUGCAACAGAGACCCUGUGACCUGCAAAGUUUGACAUAUUUACCCUUUGGUCCUUUACAGAAAGGCAGUUGACCUCUGCUGCAGACGGUUAGUUGGGAUGCUUCCGAAAGAAAUGUACCAAGAAGAAAAUGUAAUCUCCUUCCUUAAAAUACCUACCCAAAGAGAUCAUUUGUCUUCAAUAAAAUAGUUUCCUAGUAGAGUAAUAAUAAGUUAGGCUUAUGAUUGGUUUCCCAUUAACCUCAGAUUGCAAAUGUUCACUAGCCCUUUCAAAUGCUUAGUAUCCUUACAGUGACGUAUCUGCCAGCCGUGGACGACAUUCUACUCUGGGUCGGAAACUGUCCUCAGAUUUGAAUUAUUCUUGCUUAAUUUAAAGAGCCAGAUCUAGUUUUAUUAAAGUUAAUGAAGGCCCAGAACCUCAUUAAUGGCUAAAUGACUUCUCUCUCUGAGCCAUGUGAUUAUUUCAGAAUUAGUAGUUCACUUAAAAACAAAUAUCCCUAUUUUAUUUUAUUAGAACAGAGCAUUGGUCUGUGUUUAAAAGUAGAUUUCUAUUUUUCUGACAAAUGUCUUUCCAAGUAUGUGAGGUACAAUUUCUAUGACUUUUCCUGAAAAAAAUUGACGUAUUUGUUGAGUGAAUGUUGAAUAAACAAAGAGUAUAUAUCAGAGUGGGAAGAACAUGCCCUUUGGGGUCAGAGAAACUGGGUUCAUCUCUUAGAGUUUCCUCCUCCUGCUAGUGUGUGACAACCCUCUGACCCUCAGUUUCCUAUCCUUAAAAUAGAGGCAACCCCUAUAUGAUACAUAUAUAGGAUUGUGGGAAGGAUUUUAAAUAAUGCAUGUGAAAUGACUAGUUAGAGCCAGGCACAUAGCAGGUUUACAGGUGGUAACUUAUUGAGUGGUAGUUAAGUGAGUGCUAUGGUCUGAAUGUUUGUGCCUCCCAUCCCCCAAAUUCAGGUUGAAAUCCUAAUGUCCUAUGUGAUAGUAUUGGAAGGUGGGGCCCUUGGGAGGUGCUUAGGUCAUGAGAGUGGAACCCUCAUCAAUGGGAUUAAUGCUCUUAUAAAAGAGACCCCACAGAGCCCUGUAGCCCCUUAUCCUAUGUGAGGACAUAGGGGGAAGUCAAUAACCCAAAAAAGUGCCCUCACUUGACCGUGCUGGCACCCGACAUCAGACUUCCGUCCUCCAGGACUGUGAGAAAUAAAUUUCUGUUGUGUAUAAGACACCAGUCUGUGGUGUUUUGUUCCAACAGCUCAAAUGAACUAAGACAAGGGGCAUAGUUGUUUUUGUUUUCUGAUUUCUUCUUCACUUAAUUAGGUUUUCCUAGAGGUGAACUAGAUGCCUAAAAGUAGUGAUGCUUAAAUUUAUUUUAAUAAAUUUAGGAAGCUAGCUCAAAUGAGAAAGCUGCUGUGGAGACAAGGGAACCAGGCAGGCUCCAGCACGCCCAGGGCCACCCCUGGUGUCCAGGGCGCCCCUUAACCCCUCCCCCACCCCCGCAGUGCUUCACUCGUGCUUGCUCUGGGCGCGCAACAGCGGGGAAUCAGCAUUUAGAUGAUUCUCUGGAAGUCUUCCAUCCCAACAGGAAAGACGAUAAUCAUCCUUGCAAAGAGGAUGCACGGCUGGUGAUGCCUUCGCUCCUUUGUGGGGAGCGAUGCCCAGGAAAGCUCUGACCGCGGCUGAGAGAUCUGAACUGCAGUUCCAGCUCUGCACACCAGCCGUGGGACCUCGGACGAGGCCUGCAGCGGCUCAGAGCCCCAGCGCCCCUUUCCAUGCGAAAGCAGGUCUCCGUGCUCCUUCCAGAUCUCUACAGACUUCUUCACCUGAGAGACGUCGCACAUGCAUGGACUUUAAUGGAACAG
ensembl:lncRNA